UACGUAGGGAGCAAGCGUUGUCCGGAAUCAUUGGGCGUAGAGCGCGCGUAGGCGGCCCCGUAAGUCCGCUGUGAAAGUCAAAGGCUCAACCUUUGAAAGCCGGUGGAUACUGUGGGGCUAGAGUACGGAAGAGGCGAGUGGAAUUCCUGGUGUAGCGGUGGAAUGCGCAGAUAUCAGGAGGAACACCAAUAGCGAAGGCAGCUCGCUGGGACGUUACUGACGCUGAGGCGCGAAAGCGUGGGGAGCGAACAGG
rnacentral:rRNA from 1 species